CACAGUUUGCCAGCCUCAAAGCAGUAUUUCUAAAGACUUGCUCUUGGCCUUGGAUGCCCAGAGCAAUAACCCACACUGCUGGCUCACAGCAAGUGGGGAAGAACUCUGGGUUACCACAGUCGCUGUUUCAUUCUCUUUCCAACGAGGGAAGGAGAGUAAUUGCUAAGUCACAAAAGGAUGCAGAGAUUUAUCAUCAGUUGCCAAUGCUCGUGGAUAGUUCAAGACAUCCUGAUCCUAACAGGGGCCACGGCAGAGCAUUAAGCAGGAAGCCCACGGAGAAGUCUCUCGCAAGCCAUCAUUUCAACCACUCUGAAGAGUUUUAAUCAUUCCCUGCAACGUGGGCACUCCCCUGUUUCCUGUGAUGCACUCACCUCAGCACUGUGUUUCAUCAUCUGAAGGUCCAUCUUCAGCCCAGACUGUGAGGUCCUUGAAGGUAAGGUGCUGGACCAAUUCUGCCCCUGUGUCCCCUGUACUAAGAAUAGAACCAGAUACCAUUUAAGUCUUCUCUGAUUUCAAACGAGAAGUGCUCGUCUAUUGAAUGCAUUGGAAUUUAAUGAACAGUCUUUUUUGGUAUGCAUGUUAGUGGUUAAAAUUUAUGUAUUGAUCCACUAUAAAUUCAAAUUUCCCUAUUUCCCCAAUGAUGAAGUGUUAGAAAUGAAAUGUUUAUAAAAUUUAAUGAAAAUAUGACACGUUAUUUAAAAAUGCCUAAUAAAAAGGAAAUAUUUCACUUUUAAAGAUAUCAUUCAUUACUGUCCAUAAACACACAUCUGCUCAAAUUGAUUUCUUACUUUCUGCUAAAGGCUUGCUAGAAGCAAUUGGCUACAGUUUGGUGUAAUAGCCUUAAAUCAUGGGAUGAAGAGAACUAACGUUACUGAUUUUUAUUCUUGCAGGACACUUGGUACUUUCCAAAAUCUUCAUGGAGACAUGUGGUCCACACAAAAGCAUCCUGAUACUUGGUCCUGUCCAAAAUGCACAUUGAGAUGACUGGUCUGUGAUUUCUUAGAUAAUAUAAACAUUUAACUUCAUUGAAACUUGCUAUGCCAGCCUUCUAACACAUUGUCCAUCCUGUGAUCACCAUUCAGUACUGAUGCAGAAACUUUCCAAGUUUCUGGUGGAAAUCUUAGAGCUUCUGAUCUUCUGGUUCUGCCAUACGUUUCCUAGACAUACACUCUCUCUACAGAAUCCAUUAGGUUAUCAAUGCUUUCUUCUGCAGUCUCUACAAGGUACUCAAAAGUUUCAUUUACAUCUUCCAAACAUACAAAUAGAAGUCCAAAUAACAUGAACAUACACUUAUGAGUUUUGCUGUCUGUUGUCACGUAUCAACACCUACUUAUUAGACUCAAAGAACUUAUUUUUUGCCACAGUGAUAGUGAAAUAUGAAUCUUCAUGAAAUUCUGAGGUCAAAGAAUAUUUUGCCCCAAGAAUUUUCUGAUGUCAACUUUAGUUUGAGUAUAAAGCAAGAUAAAUAUAUUGUCAGAUAUACAAGUCUCAGAACAAAAGUAAACCUCAACCUAGCUCAGCACUGAAAGAGCUUCAGAUUAUGAUCAAGAAAAUUAGCCAAUUAAAUCAGAAACUCACAGGCAACAGAAGUAUACACAAGUCCUCUGAAUGGUAUAACUUAAUCCAUAUAUGUUUUUUACAGAAAAACAAAAGAUAUACUACCGACAACUAAUAAAUUAUUAAUAUGAUUAUGGAAUUUAACAAUCAUGUCAGAAAUAAUUCUGGAAAGAGUCGCUAUGCAAUUUAAAACCCUUUCCCAACUCAUUGAAUAGUGUUUCCAUCCACCCAGUUAUUCAUGGCGGAUAACAAGAAGUCAUUCUCACCAUCUUUAUUCAAGUAUUUACCAAGUCUUCCUCAUAUUAGGUCCUAAUUAGCUUCCUGAUACAUCAGUUUCUUUCGAGCCCCACUGUCACCUCGCCUGGCCACCAUUCUGUCUUUGGUGGCCUCUUACAUCUUCCUCGCAAUUCCCUCUGCAUGAGGUCUCUCCAACCCUCACUCCCUGUCACUGGACUGAUCUUUCUAAAGCAAACACAUAAUUCUUUCCUGUAAACUCUUGAGUGGCUUCAACUGGAUCACAGAGAAAUGUCCACGUUUUUGUAGUACCAAGCCCCUGCCUCCCAGUCCUAUAUUUAUCUACCCAUUCAUCAGUCUGUUCACUCUGAUGAACUAAACUCCUAUGUGUGUGAUACUGCCUGUUUGCCAGAGACGACAUCAAGCACCGGGGCUUAUAUGAGAAAAGACUAAAUAAAUAAAAUGCUCUGCUCUUGACCAUGUAUGGUCUCACGGGGGCCCAGUCAGACAAGGAUAUAAGAGUUAAUAAUUUAAUGAAUAAUAUAAGGUAUAUUUAUGCAUUCAGCCAUGGUAUUGUGAGGAAAGGGUCACUUGAGAAGUGUUCUCUGCAGAGAUGGACAAUAACAGAAAAUUUGGAGAGUCAGGAAUCCCAUGCAUUCAGAAUGUAAGGGGAUGGGGAUGAAUUAGAGACACAGGUGGGCACCUGAUUGAGGGAUACACCAAAACCAUGCUAGAAGUCUGGGCUUUUUUUUUUUUUUUUUUUGCAGUCAACAGUGAUCCAGCAGAAGUUCUGUCAUCAGGGGAACUUUCAUAACUAAUUUACCUCUGAGCAGCCCAUUCUUUCAAGGUCCUUUUGUCACUUGCUUGCUAAAACCUCUUUGGGGAGGCCAAAAUAUGUGUCUUCUCCUAAAAUAAUUGAGUAUCUAAACCCUGUUGGCUUUCAACAGAUUUGGAAGCUGCUUGCCACAAAAUUCAGAAGGGUUGAAAUAGUCCAGGGGUGGUUUGAAGUAGCUGGUAGAGGCGCUGUCCCAAAGUCACCUUGUCAUUAAAUGCUAUGCAAGGUGAUCAGGAAGGUCCAGUAGAAAUCCAAGCACUAAAUUAGACUUGAAAAGGGACUUUAGUGCUUGUUUUUACAGCGACGGUGACUGCAUGCCUUGAUUGACCUAACAUGUCACUGGCUAGCUCGGCUUCCACGGUGAAGAGGGGACACUGCUGUAGUGUUUGAUAACUGAUCUAAUAGCAAGUCAGACAUCUCUCUGUUGCCCUGGGUUCAUUAUGCUCUAUCACCUUAAUAAACGUCCUCGUCCUCUGCCU
ensembl:lincRNA